CAUUUGAGUUGCGUUAGUUAUGCGUUUAUGUCACUGAGUUCUGCAAAAAUCUCUUUCCUCUUUAGCUUGAAAAUGAGCGAUUCAGAGGAUCCCGAGCUGGAGGAAGAGCUUCAGGCUGCUGACGAACUCCUUCAAGAUAUGCAGAAUGAUGCACAGAGUGAACCUCAGCCAAGACCAGUGCGCUGGAAAACACGUGACAGACAGACAGGGAGAUUUUAUUCCUCAAAGACCAUCAACCAGUCGAUGUACUAGUUGCAUGCCACGUGUGUCCAGAGAGCAGCAUCAAUGUCCACGUGAAGAACCUAGUUAUGUUGCCAGUGUCAACCCAACAAAAGUGUAUGGAACUGAGGUGCUUCGUCAGGAGCUCCUUCAGUUGUUGGAGGAUGGAGAAGAGGACGCAGCCAUGACUUGUGAGACGUCGUCUGAGUCAGCUGCUACUCACUGGGCGAUCAGAAAUAUGGUGUCCUCGCAAAAGUGGA